CAGCAGCCGCGGUAAUACAGAGGAUGCAAGCGUUAUCCGGAAUGAUUGGGCGUAAAGCGUCUGUAGGUGGCUUUUCAAGUCCGCCGUCAAAUCCCAGGGCUCAACCCUGGACAAGCGGUGGAAACUACCAAGCUGGAGUACGGUAGGGACAGAUGGAAUUUCCGGUGGAGCGGUGAAAUGCGUAGAGAUGUGGAGGAACACCAGUGGCGAAGGCGACUCUCUGGUCUGUAACUGACGCUGAGGAGCGAAAGCGUGGGGAGCGAACAGGAUUAGAUACCCGAGUAGUCCCUGUCUCUUAUAC
rnacentral:rRNA from 1 species